AGCUCCAGUAGCGUAUACUAAAGUUGUUGCAGUUAAAAAGCUCGUAGUUGGAUUUCUGGCUUGGCGUCGCGUCUCGGCCCCUUGAGGGUUUGGUGACUGCGAAACGUUGAGUCAUCCUGGCACAAUCUCUUCCUGGGAUUAACUUCUUGGGUUGAGGGACUGCCUCGUUUACUUUGAGAAAAUUAGAGUGUUCAAAGCAGGCAUUUCGCCUUGAAUACGUUAGCAUGGAAUAAUAAUAUAGGACUCUGGUUCUAUUUUGUUGGUUAUGAGAGCCGGAGUAAUGAUUGAUAGGGACAGUUGGGGGCAUUAGUAUUCUCAAGCGAGAGGUGAAAUUCUUGGACCUUGGGAAGACUAACAACUGCGAAAGCAUUUGCCAAGGAUGUUCCCUUUAAUCAAGAAC
rnacentral:rRNA from 1 species